GAGUUUGAUCCUGGCUCAGGAUGAACGCUAGCGGCAGGCUUAACACAUGCAAGUCGAGGGGUAACAGAGGUAGCUUGCUACUUGCUGACGACCGGCGCACGGGUGCGUAACGCGUAUAGAAUCUACCUUAUACUGGGGGAUAGCCUUUGGAAACGAAGAUUAAUACCCCAUAGUAUGUUUGAAUGGCAUCAUUUGGACAUUAAAGUUUCGGCGGUAUAAGAUGACUAUGCGUUCUAUUAGUUUGUUGGUAAGGUAACGGCUUACCAAGACUACGAUAGAUAGGGGUCCUGAGAGGGAGAUCCCCCACACUGGUACUGAGACACGGACCAGACUCCUACGGGAGGCAGCAGUGAGGAAUAUUGGACAAUGGAGGCAACUCUGAUCCAGCCAUGCCGCGUGUAGGAAGACUGCCCUAUGGGUUGUAAACUACUUUUAUAUGGGAAGAAUAAGGUCUACGUGUAGACUGAUGACGGUACCAUAAGAAUAAGCACCGGCUAACUCCGUGCCAGCAGCCGCGGUAAUACGGAGGGUGCAAGCGUUAUCCGGAAUCAUUGGGUUUAAAGGGUCCGUAGGCAGGCAUAUAAGUCAGUGGUGAAAGUCUGUGGCUCAACCAUAGAAUUGCCAUUGAUACUGUAUGUCUUGAACUAUUGUGAAGUGGUUAGAAUAUGUAGUGUAGCGGUGAAAUGCUUAGAGAUUACAUAGAAUACCGAUUGCGAAGGCAGAUCACUAACAAUAUAUUGACGCUGAUGGACGAAAGCGUAGGUAGCGAACAGGAUUAGAUACCCUGGUAGUCUACGCCGUAAACGAUGGAUACUAGUUGUUUGGUUUUCGGACUGAGUGACUAAGCGAAAGUGAUAAGUAUCCCACCUGGGGAGUACGUUCGCAAGAAUGAAACUCAAAGGAAUUGAC
rnacentral:rRNA from 1 species